UUUCAUGCCUCAACGAAACAGAGA
rnacentral:siRNA from 1 species